GGAAGAGUGCCAGAGUGGUUGAUCGGAGCGGUCUUGAAAACCGUCGUACGUGACGAGCGUACCGUGGGUUCGAAUCCCACCUCUUCCUCCA
rnacentral:tRNA from 2 species